UUCUUCAAAACAUUAAAACCACAUAAAACCAUACGAUAUAAAACUUGCAUAUUAUUUCAUUGACCAUAACAAAAAGUGACAAAACUAACACAACCUAAUAAUACUAUCCUAACACAAACAAUAGCACCAUACUACAUCAUCUUGACAAGAAACUGCAAGCAAACUUAUCAAUUGAUGCACUUUCAAUUCUAACUUCGAAACUUUAUCAUCCAAGCCAAAAACUUUCUUCAAAUUUGAACUCUCAAUACCAUCAAUCAACUUCAAAUUUGACAUUUUUUUCUUCACGAC
rnacentral:lncRNA from 1 species